rnacentral:rRNA from 1 species
AUCCCAGUUCGGAUUGCAGGCUGCAACCCGCCUGUAUGAAGUUGGAAUCGCUAGUAAUCGCGGAUCAGCAUGCCGCGGUGAAUACGUUCCCGGGCCUUGUACACACCGCCCGUCAAACCAUGAGAGUUGGCAACACCCGAAGUCGGUAGUCUAACCGCAAGGAGGACGCCGCCGAAGGUGGGGUUGAUGAUUAGGGUUAAGUCGUAACAAGGUACC